rnacentral:lncRNA from 1 species
UCCAGUUUUGUUUUGAGGGAUGAUCCAGCUCUGUCGGAGGCACGGAGGCACAGUCAAAUCUCAUGCUGUACAUUGAUCACCUGUCCAACCUUUGCCUAGAGUGGGAGCCCCCAGUUCCUUCAAGAGAUCCAACUUUACCUGUCUGUAAAGAAGAAGAGGAGGAGGGAGACAGCAGGGAGGAUCCGGUGGCAGUUUAACACCAGAGCAGGUCCAAUGUUUACUUUUACCCUUUUGGAGCUAUCAGAAGGGCUGACUAAAGGGCAAGCGCAGCUCUGCAGCAAUAUUCUGAUAAUCUAUUGCAGUGCAGCUCACAUCACUGUUCACCACCACCGGGAACGCGCACGGAGACUGAAGAGGAGCUUUCACUUUCAUUACUGAGCACGGUUCUGUUCGACUCAGUGUUUCCUUCAUCAUCUCAUGUCCUUUCCCAUGGAUUCAGACAUGCUGGAGAGGAGAACGUGGAGGAGGAGACAAUGGCAGGUCCUCCAUUUUUCGGUCGGGAUUCGGGCAUUUAAAAUGUGUUCAUCUCUUCUGAAUGUCAUUAUUUGAUAGCAUUUUACUUCUGUUACUUAAACUUCACUGGAUGAAUCUGAACUCCAUGGGAUCGUAACUGUGGAUUCAGCUUCUGUUGGACAACUAGCUUCAUCUCCCGUCUCUCUGCUGGUUCAGUCUAAGUGGUCAUCUCUAAUGCAUUAGAUUAUCAAAAAGUGUGAAUUCUGUGAGUGAGUGAGUGGUGCUGGUAGUGUUUGUAUACCGAGAUGCAUGGAGUGUUUGACAGAGAAACCAAAGCACCAAAACUGGUGAGCCUUUACCCUCCUCUAUUUCUUUAAUCUGCGGUUUGAAGAACCACAUUUCGAUGGUGGAACCAGUCGUUACCUCUGGGCCAGGUUGGAAAUGAAAUCGAUUCUUUAAACCACUAAU